UACGUAGGUGGCAAGCGUUAAUCGGAAUUACUGGGCGUAAAGCGUGCGCAGGCGGUUAUGCAAGACAGAUGUGAAAUCCCCGGGCUCAACCUGGGAACUGCAUUUGUGACUGCAUGGCUAGAGUGCGGCAGGAGGGGGAUGGAAUUCCGCGUGUAGCAGUGAAAUGCGUAGAUAUGCGGAGGAACACCGAUGGCGAAGGCAAUCCCCUGGGCCUGCACUGACGCUCAUGCACGAAAGCGUGGGGAGCAAACAGG
rnacentral:rRNA from 1 species